GAUGAACGCUGGCGGCGUGCCUAAUACAUGCAAGUCGAGCGAACAGACGAGGAGCUUGCUGCUCUGACGUUAGCGGCGGACGGGUGAGUAACACGUGGAUAACCUACCUAUAAGACUGGGAUAACUUCGGGAAACCGGAGCUAAUACCGGAUAAUAUAUUGAACCGCAUGGUUCAAUAGUGAAAGACGGUUUUGCUGUCACUUAUAGAUGGAUCCGCGCCGCAUUAGCUAGUUGGUAAGGUAACGGCUUACCAAGGCAACGAUGCGUAGGCGACCUGAGAGGGUGAUCGGCCACACGGGAACUGAGACACGGUCCAGACACCUAGGGGAGGCAGCAGUAGGGAAUCUUCCGCAAUGGGCGAAAGCUUGACGGAGCAACGCCGCGUGAGGGAUGAAGGUCUUCGGAUCGUAAAACUCUGUUAUUAGGGAAGAACAAAUGUGUAAGUAACUAUGCACGUCUUGACGGUACCUAAUCAGAAAGCCACGGCUAACUACGUG
rnacentral:rRNA from 1 species